AAUCGAUGCUAUUUCCUAUGUUUAAUCAAUCUUGAAAGGGUAUUAGUAAUUAAGCUCACUCUUCAGUGCAUCCAAAAUCGACCAACACAAAAGGUUUAUCGAAACAGAGGCCUGAGGAGGCAGGUCCCUUCAAUAUAAGGAAUUUCAUCUUCCGUAGAAAAUUUCGCUAGCUUACGCGACAGUUAAUCAUCGGAUUACAAAAAAUGUCGAGGUGGUUGGUAAACAGUAAAAGAGGAAAGGUUCAGGGUGCAAAAAUAGCAGCUUGAAAGCCGGAUUUUACCAUAAAUCGAAAUAUUUUUAUAAAAACAAUAAAUAUAUUUAUUUGAAUUUCUUUAUUUUAGAUUAUUAAAGCCCUUUGGCUUUGAAAUUUAUGAUCCCGCCAUUAAAAUAGGUCUGAUGGCUGGUGUUGAAACGAACAAUGGAGAGGUUGGUAAGAAAGGAAUCAGCCGAAAGUUUAUCCAAGGACUGAAAAUUCUAUAUUCGGCUGGGAUGAUCUGUCAUAGCUGAUAAUGACUUUAUGAAAUGCUAAAGCUAUGGGUUCGCCUCAAUGUUUACAGAAGAUGAACGAUGUAACCAGAAGUCCAACACCUUUUUGCUGUCCUCAAUUAAAUAAGAAGAACUUUUAAAAAUUAACAAUGGUAAAAAUCUAAAGAAAAAUGAUCCACAUUCUAUGCCGGUGACGCAUCCCAUUCAAGUUGAAGUUAUACUCAUCAAUCUUUCAAUGUGCUACAAUCAGCAGACAACGAAAUUCCAGGACAAAGCAACUGUAAGUUCUUUAUCCCAAUUUUCUAACAAAAAGACUCAGGCAUACCUUACAUUCCUUUUUUUACAAUGGGAAGCUAGCGCGGAUAUUACCAUCUACAGCCACUCCCAAUGCGAGAAGUUUCUUAAGCAAGUUUUUUUUAAACAGCAAAAUAAGUGAGUGAUACCUGAUUGAUUAAUACGAUUUAUCUUGUUAUAAUACCAUCAGGUUCUUCCCAUUCUUUACAAGAAGCCAAGGUUUGAGAUAUGGGAAUACCCCGGAAAGUAUCGCACAUUUUUUAAAAUUACUGUUAUUCAAAUAAAAAUGAUUGAAUCAUAUUUUUACAGUUUUUGAAUCAUUGAAUGGCCUUGAUCACUCGUGUUUCUACCAUUUAUUUACAUUUUCUACUUAGCAGCAGAAAUUAACGACCAGGGUAACAUGUUACUUAGGCAUGGUUGAGCAACAUACCGUUCGUAUAGAUAUUUGGCAAAUACCACAUGUGCCACGAUUGAGUUAAAUUUUGAAAACUUUUUCAGAUUGCUGGUAUUAUACGAAAAGAUCGAUAUCUGUUCCUAUAGCUCGUUUUCUC